GGCUAGCGUUGCUCGGAAUCACUGGGCGUAAAGCGCACGUAGGCGGCUCUUUAAGUCAGGGGUGAAAUCCCAAGGCUCAACCUUGGAACUGCCUUUGAUACUGGGGAUCUCGAGUCCGGAAGAGGUUGGUGGAACUGCGAGUGUAGAGGUGAAAUUCGUAGAUAUUCGCAAGAACACCAGUGGCGAAGGCGGCUCACUGGCCCGAUACUGACGCUGAGGUGCGAAAGCGUGGGGAGCAAACAGG
rnacentral:rRNA from 1 species